rnacentral:misc_RNA from 1 species
AUGUUCCUUGGUGAGUUGGAGGAAAUCUUGGAAGCUACUCAACCACCAGAUUUCCAAAGGUGUAUGGUGCCGUUGUUUCGUCGUAUUGCUCAAUGUUUGACUAGCUUGCAUUUUCAGGUGGCGGAGAGGGCUUUAUUCUUGUGGAAUAACGAUCAUAUUGAGAAUUUGAUAAAGCAACAUCGAAAAGUGAUACUGCCUAUCAUCUUUCCUGCACUAGAAAGAAAUGCCAGAAACCAUUGGAAUCAGGCUGUUCACAGUUUGUCACUGAAUAUUCGGAAGAUAUUCUAUGAUCUUGAUCCUGAGCUAUUCAAGGAGUGCUUGCACAACUUUCAAGAAGAUGAAUUGAAGGAAGAUGAGAUUAAGUCAAAACGUGAAGCUACAUGGAAACGAUUAGAAGAACUUGCGGCCAAAAAUACUACAAGCAAUGAAGCUGUGCUUGUGCCAUCCACCGGGCAUUCUCGAACUUAAUGUUAAGAUAUGCUUGUUCUUCCUUGUUUUUAAUUUUCAUAAUUCUGGUUAAAUUUACAUUUUGG